GGUUUGAGAAAGUAUUGCUUCCUGUCCUGCGAUUGUGUAAGCACCUCUUAGGACCAGUGAAUAAGGCCCAGUUGUUUGAAGAGGCCCUGCCACGAAGUUGCUGUCCCGAAUAUCCUGCUGUUUUAGAAGACAACAGGAACCACAGUUGGAACAGAGCGAUGUGUAUCAACUGGAUGCACAGGCUUGAAGAACAGUGCAGGGGAUAGAGAACAGGAAAACUUCCCAUACCAAGACCAAUAAACAUGAAAGUCCCAAACAGCGACCAGGAAAAACGUGAUCCAUAACUUCCAAACCUUGCACAGUCAAGUCCAGCAGUAAUCCAAGCUCCCGAUGACCAUUUGAAGCCAUUAAAUAAAAACAAAAAAGGGAAACAGCCUUAACAGUCUGCGUGCAGCUUGCUUUCGAAAUUAUUUAAAAGGGCAACCCCCACUCUAUGCACAGAAUACUGAUUAACUGAUUUCUGAGCGGAAUCGCCGCUUUAAGAAAUGAAAAAAGAAAAAAAACUGCACAGCCAAUCAGCGAAGAUGGGCGUCAUGAUGUGACGCAUUUAGAGGUGACGAUGAGCGCUAGCGUGAUGGGAAAUGAAGUUCUCUGAGGUCCAUCCACCACGCUGAAGCAGGCCUUCAUCCUGGGAGUACAAAAAUACCUGUUCUCGUCGUCGGGAGCAUUAAAACACGGAUCGGAGCACUACCAUGCCAUGGAAACACAUCAGAAAUCAACCAGGACACAAAGGUGGAAUUUGCAGCACAGAGACAAACUGCACACCAGAAGCACAUGUAUGAGAGACAGCAGGAGGCCCGAACUAAUCCAAGGGUCCGUAAUUCUGGAAGCAGAACUGCCUCACCCAUGGACAGGAUACACUACUUAAGAAAAUGAGCCUCUUCCAACCCACUACAUAUAUUCUCAUCUCAUAGGGAGUCCAUGAACUGCACUGUCUUUUUCAAGGAAACACUAAAACUGCAUGUAGACAGGAGAAGGAUCAUAAUGAAAACAGCAGUUCAGUUACAAGUAAUAUGAAAAGUGAAACUACAUCAAUAAAUAUGCAUUUCUCAAUACUAAAUAUUUACUUACUCCAGAGGUUCAUUGGAGCAAUAGUAGCUUGGAAUGUCUUUUUAUUAUUUAAUUUACCACUUCCUGUAAUGUUUUUUAAAGUUUCAUUAUUUAUUUCAGUAAUUUGUUUUUAAUUUGUGUAUUAGACCACCAGAAAUGCAGGCUGUGAAUGUUGUAAAAAGAGUCUGCUUACACAAGCACAAUUAAAAUGCUGUGAGAUUGAAAUGGAUGGAGUACUCAGCAGUAACUUUUCACGCAGAAGGUAAUGACGUGAACAAGAAAAUACUACAAAGAGACAGUUAGGCAUUUUAAUAACCCAGAACAGUCCUGACAGAAUCAAAAGCCAGAUGCAACCUACUUGAAAACUUUGAGCUGACAAUAACUGUUCAUAUACUAGGGUUCAGAGGGCAAGUACUCCCAACCUCCCAUGCUGUGGGUCUUCACUCUCCACCCCUUAUGUAUAUAUAUAUAUAUAUAUAUAUAUAUAUAUAUAUAUAUAUAUAUAGCAAUCAUGGUGUCAUAUAAGAGCAGAGAAAGGACAAAACACAUGGCUCAAACUCUACUUGCAUUUAAAGAGAAGUAUUAAAGAUCAGUAGCAAUUGCAAAGAGAGUACAUGCAAUUCACUCACUUCAGGGUAGCAUAUUAUCAUAAAUGCUUGUAUAUCUAUAUAAUUGUUAGACAACCAUCCUAAAGUUAGUAUAAAAAUACCUUUGCCUUUGCUUUCUACAGUCGUCUUUAUUUGUCGCUGCACAGAUUCAGAAGAAAAGUGCUACAGCAAUAUUUAUCCUUAAGCUACAAGUCUGACAAGCAAAGCACUUAUCAAAAGUUAGUGGGUGCGCUCAUCUCAGAGCGACUAUCUGAAGGAAAGAAAUGUGACUGAAACUCUUCACAAUGUGACAGAAUUAUCAUUUGUACAACAUGAUAUCCUGGAUCUAAUCAAAUUCCUUAUUGCAUUAUUCUUCUUGAGGGCUUUUUCCUUGCUAUAAAUACUCCCUACCCAUUAUCAAGCAGCAAACAUUGCCAAUAAUAUAUCAGAAACAUAAAAAUGAAUAUUAUAAUUAACCUCAAAUAACAGCUUCUAUUCCUUGCAUAAAAAGAACAUGUUCAUACUCUCAACUGUAUAAAACAGAGAAAA